rnacentral:rRNA from 1 species
GACGAACGCUGGCGGCGUGCCUAAUACAUGCAAGUCGAGCGAGCGGCGGACGGGUGAGUAACACGUAAGGAACCUACCGAUAAGCGGGGGACAACAUCCGGAAACGGGUGCUAAUACCGCAUACUUAUCGAUGGCCUUGCGGUGCAUUAGCUGGUGGGGGGGGUAACGGCCUACCAAGGCGAUGAUGCAUAGCCGACCUGGGAGGGUAAUCGGCCACAUUGGGACUGAGACACGGCCCAAACUCCUACGGGAGGCAGCAGUAGGGAAUCUUCCGCAAUGGGCGCAAGCCUGACGGAGCAACGCCGCGUGUGUGAAGAAGGUUUUCGGGUCGUAAAGCUCUGUUGUAAGAGAAGCGGUAUCUUCCCAGAAAGCAACGGCUAACUACGUGCCAGCAGCCGCGGUAAUAC